GACGAACCGUGCGAACGUUGUUCGGAAUCACUGGGCUUAAAGGGCGCGUAGGCGGGCCGACAAGGCCGGGGUGAAAGCCCCCAGCUCAACUGGGGAAGCGCCUUGGAUACUGCCGGUCUGGAGGGAGGUAGGGGCGUGCGGAACUUCCGGUGGAGCGGUGAAAUGCGUAGAUAUCGGAAGGAACACCGGUGGCGAAAGCGGCGCGCUGGACCUCUUCUGACGCUGAGGCGCGAAAGCCAGGGGAGCAAACGGG
rnacentral:rRNA from 1 species